rnacentral:rRNA from 1 species
UACGUAGGGGGCAAGCGUUGUCCGGAAUCAUUGGGCGUAAAGAGCGUGUAGGCGGCCCGGUCAGUCCGCCGUGAAAGUCCAGGGCUCAACCCUGGAAUGCCGGUGGAUACUGCCGGGCUGGAGUCCGGAAGAGGCGAGUGGAAUUCCUGGUGUAGCGGUGAAAUGCGCAGAUAUCGGGAGGAACACCGGUGGCGAAGGCGGUUCUCUGGGCCUUACCUGACGCUGAGGAGCGAAAGCGUGGGGAGCGAACAGG